rnacentral:rRNA from 1 species
ACUCGCUGUGAAGAUGCAGUGUACCCGCGGCAAGACGGAAAGACCCCGUGAACCUUUACUAUAGCUUGACACUGAACAUUGAGCCUUGAUGUGUAGGAUAGGUGGGAGGCUUUGAAGCGUGGACGCCAGUCUGCGUGGAGCCGACCUUGAAAUACCACCCUUUAAUGUUUGAUGUUCUAACGUGGACCCGUAAUCCGGGUUGCGGACAGUGUCUGGUGGGUAGUUUGACUGGGGCGGUCUCCUCCUAAAGAGUAACGGAGGAGCACGAAGGUUGGCUAAUCCUGGUCGGACAUCAGGAGGUUAGUGCAAUGGCAUAAGCCAGCUUGACUGCGAGCGUGACGGCGCGAGCAGGUGCGAAAGCAGGUCAUAGUGAUCCGGUGGUUCUGAAUGGAAGGGCCAUCGCUCAACGGAUAAAAGGUACUCCGGGGAUAACAGGCUGAUACCGCCCAAGAGUUCAUAUCGACGGCGGUGUUUGGCACCUCGAUGUCGGCUCAUCACAUCCUGGGGCUGAAGUAGGUCCCAAGGGUAUGGCUGUUCGCCAUUUAAAGUGGUACGCGAGCUGGGUUUAGAACGUCGUGAGACAGUUCGGUCCCUAUCUGCCGUGGGCGCUGGAGAACUGAGGGGGGCUGCUCCUAGUACGAGAGGACCGGAGUGGACGCAUCACUGGUGUUCGGGUUGUCAUGCCAAUGGCACUGCCCGGUAGCUAAAUGCGGAAGAGAUAAGUGCUGAAAGCAUCUAAGCACGAAACUUGCCCCGA